rnacentral:lncRNA from 1 species
AAAAUGUUCUUCUUCCCCACCCUCCGACCCAACUCACAGCACUCAUCCACCAUAUCUCCACCGGGGUGCCGCUUCGGCUCCUCCGCAGCUCACCACCAUCUCACCUCUCCUUCACCACCACCACCAUAUUCUCUAGAUCCGCCGCCCACCAAAAAACAUUAGUUUAUUGAAACUUUAGUUUCCACCAACAAACUUUACACGAGCCUCAAACCAUCCCCCAAUAUCUUAUUUUGAUGGCGGUGGUGGUGAUAAGAAAGAGCAAGAGAAGAGGAAAUAACAAAAAGACACAAUUUUGGACCUAGCAGGUUCGGCCGUUAAUAUCAAAGUCGUCGUCGCCGUCGAGAGAAAUCACUUGGAGAUGUUAGAUAGCCAUUGCUGUAAUUGGGGCUGAAUUAGCCUCGGGUUGUACGGAUUCGGGUCUGGUAUGAAGAUUGUAGAAGAUGAGGUGGUGGUGCUGAACUUCUUCUUCUCUUGUUGGGGUUGGGGUUUGGGGGUG